ACUAAAAUGGCUGAAAUCUAAGGCGGUAAAUUGUAAAUUUACUUAUGAAUUUAAAUUCUUUUAGUA
rnacentral:tRNA from 1 species